AACGAACGCUGGCGGCAGGCUUAACACAUGCAAGUCGAGCGCCCCGCAAGGGGAGCGGCAGACGGGUGAGUAACGCGUGGGAAUCUACCCAUCUCUACGGAAUAACGCAUGGAAACGUGUGCUAAUACCGUAUACGUCCUUCGGGAGAAAGAUUUAUCGGAGAUGGAUGAGCCCGCGUUGGAUUAGCUAGUUGGUGGGGUAAAGGCCUACCAAGGCGACGAUCCAUAGCUGGUCUGAGAGGAUGAUCAGCCACACUGGGACGGAGACACGGCCCAGACUCCUACGGGUGGCAGCAGUGGGGAACAUUGGACAAUGGGCGCAAGCCUGAUCCAGCCAUGCCGCGUGAGUGAUGAAGGCCCUAGGGUUGUAAAGCUCUUUCACCGGUGAAGAUAAUGACGGUAACCGGAGAAGAAGCCCCGGCUAACUUCGUGCCAGCCGCCGCAGUAAUAC
rnacentral:rRNA from 1 species